GCCCGCUGGAGAAUCUCAGAAUAUGGGUGCCGAAGGUGAAAGUGGCGAAUGCCGCGAAUCUCUCAGGCAAAAGGACAGCGU
rnacentral:ncRNA from 1 species